AUUGAACGCUGGCGGCAUGCCUUACACAUGCAAGUCGAACGGCAGCACGGGGCAACCUGGUGGCGAGUGGCGAACGGGUGAGUAAUGCAUCGGAACGUACCUUUCAGUGGGGGAUAACGUAGCGAAAGUUACGCUAAUACCGCAUAUUCUGUGAGCAGGAAAGCAGGGGAUCGCAAGACCUUGUGCUGAUUGAGCGGCCGAUGUCAGAUUAGCUAGUUGGUGAGGUAAAGGCUCACCAAGGCGACGAUCUGUAGCGGGUCUGAGAGGAUGAUCCGCCAAACUGGAACUGAGACACGGUCCAGACUCCUACGGGAGGCAGCAGUUGGGAAUUUUGGACAAUGGGGGCAACCGUGAUCCAGCCAUGCCGCGUGAGUGAAGAAGGCCUUCGGGUUGUAAAGCUCUUGCGUCCGGGAAGAAAGCGAACGGGCUAAUACCCUGUGUGGAUGACGGUACCGGAAUAAGAAGCAGCGGCUAACUACGGGCCAGCCGCCGCAGUAACAC
rnacentral:rRNA from 1 species